rnacentral:lncRNA from 1 species
GGAGUCCAGAAUCCCAAAGAAGCUUCAGGACUUUGAAAGCAGGAGUAUCAUCAGCAAGCACUAUCAUCCAUCUUGAGACCUGAGAAUUUUUAAGGGCUUGAGGAUUUAAUCUCCCGUCCAGACGCAAGAUAAUGUCAAGAUCUUCGAGAGCACAGUCUGUUCGAGGUCUACUCCCUGGGCACAGCAGCAGCCUUGAGACAGCUGAGAUGACGUACCUGUCUCUUGAAAACCCUACUUACCAGCACCGCCGCAGGAGAUAUGUGUUAACCAAUGAAGGAAGCAACAACUUGCCACGGUCUGAGCAGGGAUGAAGCUCUUAAUGAAGGAGGAAACAGAAGUGCUAUGGGUGCUAACAGGGUUUUCUUAAAAAUAAAUUUUAAUAUUUUU